rnacentral:rRNA from 1 species
GUGCCAGCAGCCGCGGUAAUUCCAGCUCCAGGAGCGUCUGUGUGUAUUGCUGCGGUUAAAACGUGCGUAGUCUGGCUGACGACCUGCAAGAAACGUGGGGUCUCAAGCCACACGACAGCAGGUAUGGAAAGCCUUGAGACCGGGAAGGGGCAAUGUUAUUUGGCAGCGAGGGGUGAAAACCGAUGACCUGCUGAGGAGCGACAGAGGCGCAAGCGGUUGUCCGGAACGGGUCUGACGAUCAAGCGCGUGAGCAGGAGGAUCGAAGGCGAUUAGAGACCGUCGUAGUUCCUGCAGUAAACGAUGCCGACGGGGUUGCAGGAGCUGUGGCCCGAGGGAAACCGAGUGUAUGGGCUCCGGGGAUAGUAUAGGCGCCAAGCCGGGAAACUUUGAAGAAAUUGACGGAAGGACACCACAAGGAAGUGGACUGUGGCGGGUUUAAUUUGGACUCAACGCCGGGGGCCAACUUUACCGGGGCAAGCUACCGCCAGGGAAGAUUGCAAUGCGCGAUUAAAAAGCUUGUGU